UAGGGAAGGCAGCAGUGGGGAAUAUUGCACAAUGGGCGCAAGCCUGAUGCAGCCAUGCCGCGUGUAUGAAGAAGGCCUUCGGGUUGUAAAGUACUUUCAGUCGUGAGGAAGGUGUUAAGGUUAAUAACCUUAGCAAUUGACGUUAGCGGCAGAAGAAGCACCGGCUAACUCCGUGCCAGCAGCCGCGGUAAUACGGAGGGUGCGAGCGUUAAUCGGAAUUACUGGGCGUAAAGGGCACGCAGGCGGUUAAUUAAGUUGGAUGUGAAAUCCCCGGGCUUAACCUGGGAAUGGCAUUCAAGACUGGUUAGCUAGAGUCUUGUAGAGGGGGUAGAAUUCCAUGUGUAGCGGUGAAAUGCGUAGAGAUGUGGAGGAAUACCGGUGGCGAAGGCGGCCCCUGGGACAAAGACUGACGCUCAUGUGCGAAAGCGUGGGGAGCAAACAGGAUUAGAUACC
rnacentral:rRNA from 1 species